AACGAACGCUGGCGGCAUGCCUCAUACAUGCAAGUCGAACGAAGGCUUCGGCCUUAGUGGCGCACGGGUGAGUAGCGCGUGGGAACCUACCCUUUUGUGGGGGAUAACCGAGAGAAACUUCGGCUAAUACCGCAUACGCCGGGUAACCGGGAAAGAUUUAUCGCAGAAGGAUGGGCCCGCGUCGGAUUAGCUAGUUGGUG
rnacentral:rRNA from 1 species